rnacentral:rRNA from 1 species
GUGAGGAAUAUUGCUCACUGGGCGAAAGCCUGAAGCAGCAACGCCGCGUGCGCGAUGAAGGUCUUCGGAUCGUAAAGCGCUUUUGAGAGGGACGAGAUAGGACGGUACCUCUUGAAUAAGUCACGGCUAACUACGUGCCAGCAGCCGCGGUAAAACGUAGGUGGCAAGCGUUAUCCGGAUUCACUGGGCGUAAAGCGCGUGCAGGUGGCUUCGUAAGUUGGACGUUAAAUCUUUCUGCCUAACCGGGAGGUGUCGUUCAAUACUGCGGGGCUUGAGGGUAGAAGAGGGAGGUGGAAUUGCAGGUGUAGUGGUGAAAUGCGUAGAUAUCGGCAGGAACACCUGUGGCGAAAGCGGCCCCCUGGUCUGCUCCUGACACUCAGACGCGAAAGCUAGGGGAGUGAACG